rnacentral:rRNA from 1 species
AUUGAACGCUGACGGCAGGCCUAACACAUGCAAGUCGAGCGGAGCGGCGGACGGGUGAGUAAUGCCUAGGAAUCUGCCUGGUAGUGGGGGAUAACGUUCGGAAACGGGCGCUAAUAUCGCAUACUAUCAGAUGAGCCUAGGUCGGAUUAGCUAGCUUGUGGGGGAAGGGCCUACCAAGGCGACGAUCCGUAACUGGUCGGAGAGGAUGAGCAGUCACGCUGGAACUGCGGCACCGUCCCGCCUCCUACGGGAGGCAGCAGUGGGGAAUAUUGGACAAUGGACGAAAGCCUGAUCCAGCCAUGCCGCGUGUGUGAAGAAGGUCUUCGGAUUGUAAAGCACUUUAAGUUGGGAGGCGUUACCAUCAGAAUCAGCACCGGCUAACUUCGUGCCAGCCGCGGUAAUAC